GUGGGAAAGGGGGGGCAACGUUAUCAGGGCCCUUGCAAUAAGUUGGCCUUGGAAAGUUUUGCGGUUGAGCACAGAAAAUGGAAGGCUGCUAUAAAGUUUGGCUCUGCCCUAAGUUGGGAACAUCAUUAACAUAUUUCUUCUGGGGACCUUUGCACUGUGCAAACAGGAACAGUGCCACCUGGAGAACCCGGAAUAUAGAUGUUAGUAUCCUCAUUUUGCAGACAGCAAUUACGGUGACAAAUGGCAAAUCUGUGGCCUGUAUCAAUGCUGCGAUGAGAACUUAUUAAGGGGAAAGAUGCACAACCUCAAGGGAAGCUCCUAAACUUGAAAAGCCUGACACGGAGGGAGGCAAGGGAGUAGGGCGGCGCGCUCCGAGCAUGACGUGAUGCACUGCUGCUUGUUUAAGGGAAGGGUACAGCCUGCUCUGCAGGGCUGUCACCAAGAUCCUGUUCUUUGUCGAGAAGAGCAACCCCAAGGUCUGGAAAAAACCCAUCUGUGACACACCCCUUCAUUUUCCAAAGAACAGGAUUGCAAGGCGCUGCUGAGCUGGCUGGUGGCAGAGGAGGUGGGGAGAACAGAAAGGGGAAGUAUGAGGGAGCAAAGGAAGGGCAACAACCUGGGAAAGAAAAGGCAGCUUGUAUAAAGAAUGGCUCCGACCUGCUCUGACUCCGGAGAAGUACUUUUGAGGCUGUUCUUUGAGGACUAGGAGGGAAAAGGGCUGGAGAAGUACAAGAUAUUGCUGCUUUUAUUAUAUAUUUGAUUUGUAAUUAAAAAAAAAAAAAGUAUU